AACCAAAAACUUUUCUUUGUCAGGCCUGCCCAAAAACAUUUAAGGAGUCAUGUGCCCUAAAAAAUCAUGAGCUCUGUCACAAUGAGAAUCGGGAAAGAUUUCCGUGCGACAUCUGUAACCAAAGCUUUUUAACUCCGUAUACAUACAAAAAACACAGGCUAACGCACGAAACCAACCGCAAACCAA